rnacentral:pre_miRNA from 1 species
GGCGCGUCGACCCCCGCAGGCCCCCAGGGCCCGGAGGCCUCCGAAAUUCGGCUCCGGGUCUGUGGGGGGCGAAAUGCAA